CGGAGACCGACUGUAGGGCCAAAACACAUGGAACCCGUUUCGGCUACCACCUUGUGUGCGGUCGGUCAAAUUGUCUCUUCCACCUAACUCCCCAACCCCUGGUCUGAUCUAGGUGAAUUUUUGAUAUGGGCUACCAGGGGGUACCACUUAACCCAUUGUACCUAACUGUUUUGGGGUACAUCCCGAACUCGGGGAAAACUACAGUAUGUUUAAUGAGAUUAUGUGUCACACUGAUGGGAG